ACGGAAGGCAGCAGUGGGGAAUAUUGGACAAUGGGGGAAACCCUGAUCCAGCGACGCCGCGUGAGUGAAGAAGUAUUUCGGUAUGUAAAGCUCUAUCAGCAAGGAAGAAAAUGACGGUACUUGACUAAGAAGCCCCGGCUAACUACGUGCCAGCAGCCGCGGUAAUACGUCGGGGGCAAGCGUUAUCCGGAUUUACUGGGUGUAAAGGGAGCGUAGACGGCAUAGCAAGUCUGAAGUGAAAUGCAUGGGCUCAACCCAUGAACUGCUUUGGAAACUGUUAAGCUAGAGUGCAGGAGAGGUAAGUGGAAUUCCUAGUGUAGCGGUGAAAUGCGUAGAUAUUAGGAGGAACACCAGUGGCGAAGGCGGCUUACUGGACUGUAACUGACGUUGAGGCUCGAAAGCGUGGGGAGCAAACAGGAUUAGAUACCCUGGUA
rnacentral:rRNA from 1 species